GAUGAACGCUGGCGGCGUGCCUAAUACAUGCAGGUCGAGCGCACAGACGAGGCGCUUGCUCCUCUGACGUUAGCCGCGGAGGGGUGAGUAACACGUGGAUACCCUACCUAUAAGACUGGGAUAGCUGCGGGAAACCGGGGCUCAUACCGGAUAAUAGCUUGAUCCUCAUGGUUCCAUAAUGAAAGACUGUUUUGUGCUCACUUAUCACUAGAUCAGCGACGCAUUAGCUAGUAGGUAAGGUAACGGCUUACCAAGGCGACGAUCCGUAGCCGACCUGAGAGGGUGAUCGGCCACACUGGAACUGAGACACGGUCCAGACUCCUACGGGAGGCAGCAGUAGGGAAUCUUCCGCAAUGGGCGAAAGCCUGACGGAGCAACGCCGCGUGAGUGAUGAAGGUUUUCGGAUCGUAAAGCUCUGUUAUUAGGGAAGAACAAAUGUGUAAGUAACUAGGCACGUCUGGAAGGUAACUAUUCAGAAAGGCACGGCUAACUUCGGU
rnacentral:rRNA from 1 species